GGCUUAUCUCAACCCCACAGCCAGCUAGUACGGCUACAGCAGGGUGUGUCUUCUGGCUGCCGUCCCAAAGGCCGUUCCGUGCCCUUCUCAGAACCCAUCACGGUGGCCACGUCUGAUACUCAGACUUUGCCUGAGAACGAAGUCAACAGCAGAAACACGCCCAGAAAAGGGAUACCCUACUACACUCUGACGCCUGCAGACAUGUGACAGCUCCAUCAGAGGACAUGGGACAAUUCUACAGGACAGGAAAGCCCGAGCCGUGGUUUCACGGGCAAUGCACCUUCUCUGUUUCCAGUGGCGCCUCUUAGAGCCGGCGACCCCGCAUCCCACGGAACGCGCUUCAAUGGAAACAUCUAAGAGGAAGGGGGUGAGCACCCACGGGGCGAUGAAUCAAGCCCGUGCCGUCUACGGCUUAAAGCCAGAGAAGAGCCAAGUGGCCAGGGCUUUAUUGACGAUGCUGAGAGAAUACUGCCAACCUGCACACACGGGGACUCUAUGCUGAGACACCAAGCAGGACACGGAAAAUCUCCCAUCGUUUGAGCACGUGAAAAGACAUGGAGGGGGCAGGCAUUGUGGCGCACCGGGUUAAGCCACCACUCGGGGCCCCUAUCCAAUCCCAGUUCCUGCUAAUGCGCAGGGGAAAGCAACAGAAGAUGGCCGGAGGAUUUGGGUUUCUGCUAUGUACGUGGAAGACCCAGAUAGAGUUCUUUGCUCCUGGGUAUGUCCUGGCUCAGCCACGGCCGUUGUGGCCAUCUGGGGUGUGAAUCAACAAAUGGAAAAUCUCUCUCUCUCUCUCUCUGUGGACCUCUGCCUUCCAAAUAAAUAAUGUUUUUGGGGGGCCCGCGCUGUGGCGUAGUGGGUAAAGCCACCGCCUACAGUGCCAGCAUCCCCUAUGGGCACUGGUUCGAGUCCUGGCUGCUCUACUUGUGAUCCAGCUCUCUGCUAUGGCCUGAGAAAGCAGUGGAAGAUGGCCCAAGUGCUUGGGCCCCUGCACCCAAGUGGGAAAACAGGAAGAAUCUCCUGGCUCCUGGCUUUGGAUUGGCGCAGCUUGAGCUGUUGUGGCCAUCU